UUCGGUUAUGGUGUUUUCCGGUAAUUUGUUGGGCAUGGGGUCAGCCGGGUUUUUCAUGCUGAUCCUGUUGUUCAACACUGCAGAAACAAUGAAGGUGGACGUAUGGUCUUGAAUCAGACCUUUACUAUUGAACCGAUGCUAACGAUGGGCAGCAUUAAUCCGGUAAUAUGGGACGAUGAUUGGACGUUGGUCACACAAGAUGGGAGCUUGUCUGCUCAGUUCGAGCACACAAUUCUAAUAACCGAAGACGGGGCUGAAAUAUUGACCGAAUGUGAAGCUUGACACCAG